CAGCCGCCGCGGGAAUACGAAGGGUGCAAGCGUUACUCGGAAUUACUGGGCGUAAAGCGUGCGUAGGUGGUGGUUUAAGUCCGUUGUGAAAGCCCUGGGCUCAACCUGGGAAUUGCAGUGGAUACUGGGUCACUAGAGUGUGGUAGAGGAUAGUGGAAUUUCCGGUGUAGCAGUGUAAUGCGUAGAGAUCGGAAGGAACAUCUGUGGCGAAGGCGACUAUCUGGGCCAACACUGACACUGAGGCACGAAAGCGUGGGGAGCAAACAGGAUUAGAUACCCCUGUAGUCCCUGUCUCUUAUAC
rnacentral:rRNA from 1 species